rnacentral:rRNA from 1 species
CCCCNUANGGGAUNCNGCAGUANGGAAGCGCAAUGGACCGAAGUCUGNCGCAGNGACCCGCGUGAGCGUUGAAGACCUUCGGGUCGUAAAUCUCUGUCCUUGGGGAAGAAGGUGUUCGGACUUGACGGUACCCAAGCAGAAAGCCCCGGCUAACUACGUGCCAGCAGCCGCGGUAAUACGUAGGGGGCGAGCGUUGUCCGGAAUUACUGGGCGUAAAGGGUGCGUAGGCGGCCUUUUAAGUCAGAUGUGAAAGCCCACGGCUUAACCGUGGGAUUGCAUUUGAAACUGGAGGGCUUGAGUGUCGGAGAGGGUAGUGGAAUUCCCAGUGUAGCGGUGAAAUGCGUAGAUAUUGGGAGGAACACCAGUGGCGAAGGCGACUNCCUGGUCGAUAACUGACGCUGAGGCACGAAAGCUAGGGGAGCAAACAGGAUUAGAUACCCUGGUAGUCCUAGCCGUAAACGAUGGGUACUAGGUGUAGGUGGUUUCGAUCCCNUCAGUGCCGCAGUUAACNCAAUAAGCNCNC